GGAUUAGAGUAAUGAUUAAUAGGUACAAUCCGAGACAAUCGUAUUUCAUAGUCAGUGAUGAAAUUCUUGGGUUUAUGAAAGAUGAACAACUGCAAAAGCAUUUGCCAAGGAUGUUUUCAUUAAUCAAGAACGAAAGUUGGGGGCUCAAAGAUGAUCAGAUAUCGUCCUAGUCUCAACCAUAAAUGACGCCAACUAGGGAUCGACUAAUGUUGCUUAUAGGACUCCGCUGGC
rnacentral:rRNA from 1 species